rnacentral:rRNA from 1 species
CCAAUAGCGUAUAUUAAAGUUGUUGCAGUUAAAAAGCUCGUAGUUGAACUUCGGGAUCAAGGGAUCGGUCAUGCUUUUGUAUGUACUGGUCUUAUUGGUUCUCACCUUCUAAAGAACCAUAAUGUCAUUCAUUUGAUGUUAUGGGGAAUUAGGACUGUUACCUUGAAAAAAUUAGAGUGUUUAAAGCAGGCUUACGCUUGAAUACAUUAGCAUGGAAUAAUGAAAUAGGACGUUUGACCCUAUUUUGUUGGUUUUUAGGAUCGACGUAAUGAUUAAUAGGGAUAGUUGGGAGCAUUAGUAUUCAAUUGUCAGAGGUGAAAUUCUUGGAUUUAUUGAAGACUAACUACUGCGAAAGCAUUUGCCAAGGAUGUUUUCAUUAAUCAAGAACGAAAGUUAGGGGAUCGAAGACGAUCAGAUACCGUCGUAGUCUUAACCAUAAACUAUGCCGACUAGGGAUCGGAUGAUGUUAAUUUUUUAAUGACUCAUUCGGCGCCUUACG